UGCGGAGGCAAAUGGAAGAAAGAGCCCAACAGGUGGAAUCAUAUUAGAGAGUCUUGAACGCCAAGAUGAAGCAAGCUUUUCAUUCGCCAGCUGCCACAUAGUGAGAUGGUCUUUGGAGAGGCCCAAGUAGCAGCAAUCAACCAUCAACAAACAGAAGCCCUCAGUCCCACAAUCCGAAAAGAAUUGAAUUAUGCAAACAACCACAAGAAUGAGCUUGGAAGCAGAUUCACCCCAGAAGGACCUGGAGAAGAGUUGACUGUAGCCUCCGAGAGAUCCGAGCCAGAGACCUGCUAAGCCACGCCCCCAUUCCUGACCCACAGAAACCAGGAUAAUAAAUGUGUGUUGUUUUAAGUCUCUAAGUUUUGGGGUAAUUUGUUAGAUAGCAAUAGACAACUAACAGUCUCCAAUAUUUAAUGCCAGUUAUUUACUGUGUUGGGUCGUGGGGACAUUAAGGUGUUCUUUUAGCCUUCAAGGGGUACCUAGUCUGGUGAGGUAAGGCAGACAUGUGUGAUUGUGUUACUGUGUGUAUUGGGUCAUUGGGUGGGCUGGAGAGGGGACUGCCUAUCUUACACAGCCUGGAGGUGUCAGGGCAGGCUUUUUGGGGAGGUGUCACUCACAAAGCAGAAUUUUGAAAGGUGAGUAAGAGCUUGCCAGUUGCUAUAGUUUGAAUGUCUGUUCCAAAACUCAUGUCGAACUAUAAUUGCCAUUAUGACAGUAUCAAGAGGUGAUUAGGUGACUGGAUUACUGCAAUUAUCAGGAAGUGGGUUCUUGAUAAAAGUGAGUUCAACCCCCUCUUGUCCUUGCUCACGUUUACUUUCUCUUACCCUUCCACCUUCUGCCAUGGGAUGACAUAGCACGAAGGCCCACAUCGGAGGCUGAUGCCAUUCUUUUGGACUUCCCAGCCUCCAGAACCAUGAAUCAAAUGAACAGUUGUUUAGAAAUUAACCUGUCUCUGUUACAGCAACACUAAUCAGCCUAAGAUACCAGGUGAAGAAGGCAGAGAAGCAGUGAGGAGGGAAGGAGGAGAACACAGAUUUUCUCCCUCUCCUCAGUGGAUUUGGGAAGUUGUUUUAAGACUGCAUCCUUGGCAAGAGGGUACUCCGCAGCUAUGUGCUUGACGCAAGAGUGAGUGAUUCAUCCCACCACAUCUCAAAAGUCUGUGAGUCAGCCAGUUCUUCCUGGGCUCAG
rnacentral:lncRNA from 1 species